GUGAGGAAUAUUGGUCAAUGGGCGAAAGCCUGAACCAGCCAUGUCGCGUGAAGGAUGAAGGUCCUAUGGAUUGUAAACUUCUUUUGCAGGAGGGUAAAGUGAGCUACGUGUAGUUCAUUGCAAGUACCCUGCGAAUAAGCAUCGGCUAACUCCGUGCCAGCAGCCGCGGUAAUACGGAGGAUGCGAGCGUUAUCCGGAUUUAUUGGGUUUAAAGGGUGCGUAGGCGGACUAAUUAGUCAGCGGUGAAAUUUUGCGGCUCAACCGUAAAACUGCCGUUGAAACUGUUAGUCUUGAGUGCGGUAGAGGUAGGCGGAAUGUGUGGUGUAGCGGUGAAAUGCUUAGAUAUAACACAGAACUCCGAUUGCGAAGGCAGGUGGCUGUACCUUAAUCGACGCUGAUGCACGAAAGCAUGGGGAGCAAACAGGAUUAGAAACCCGGGUAGUCC
rnacentral:rRNA from 1 species